GUGAAUCAUCGAAUUUUUGAACGCAAAUUGCACUUUCUGGUAUUCCGGAGAGUAUGCCUGUUUGAGGGUCAGUAAAAUAAAAAUCUGUGUUUUUGCUGCUUUUCGUGGUGACGCGUCGGAAUGUAGUUGUCUUGCCUUCGAUUAAGUGACUUAAAAUUGGGCAUGAUUUUCGAACGAUUUAAAGUUUAUUGCGUACGUUUGAGAUA
rnacentral:misc_RNA from 1 species